CCUACGGGUGGCAGCAGUGAGGAAUAUUGGUCAAUGGUCGGAAGCCUGAACCAGCCAAGCAGCGUGCAGGAUGACGGUCCUGCGUGUUGUAAACUUCUUUUAUACGGGAAUAACGCGCCUUACGUGUAGGGCUUUGCAUGUACCGUAUGAAUAAGGACCGGCUAAUUCCGUGCCAGCAGCCGCGGUAAUACGGAAGGUGCGGGCGUUAUCCGGAUUUAUUGGGUUUAAAGGGAGCGUAGGCCGCAUGUCAAGCGUGCUGUGAAAUGUCCGGGCUCAACCCGGGCCUUGCAGCGGUAACUGGCGUGCUUGAGUCCGCGGAAAGCAUGCGGAAUUCGUGGUGUAGCGGUGAAAUGCUUAGAUAUGACGAAGAACCCCGAUUGCGAAGGCAGCUUGCUGGAGCGGAACUGACGCUGAUGCACGAAAGCGCGGGUAUCGAACAGGAUUAGAUACCCCAGUAGUC
rnacentral:rRNA from 1 species